GUACAAUACAGGCUCAAAGUUUAGACUCACCUUCUGAUUUAAAUGGUAUGAGAUGGACCUCAGAUGGCCAACAAGUGCUCAGCAUCACUGGGAACUCCUUUAAGACUUUUGGAAAACAUUUCAGGUGACUACCUCAUGAAGCUCAUCGAGAGAAUACCAAGAAUGUGCAAA